rnacentral:misc_RNA from 1 species
UACACGCUACAUAAAGAACGUGAAGUCCUCAAACUCGGUCGCUUUCUUAUCACAGCCCCACGCAAGCGCAAGAGACAGACAGCCAGGCACAGAGAGCCCCGCGCGCCCUCCCCCUCCCCCCCCCUUACGUCCUCUUCUACGAAAAAAAAAGGAACACAACAAGAGCGCGGAUGAUACGUGAAGCCGGCCGCCAGCGUCGUCGCAACGCCGACAGCGACGAGAGCAGCAGCGAGGAUGAGCAGCAGCAGACGACCACGACGGUGCAGGAGACGACGGCGGCAGCGCCUCCAGCCCGCGUGCGCGCGAAGGCGCCUGCCGCGGCUGUGGUGAGCGCGCCGAGCAUGACGCUGCACGCCGACCCGACGGCAACCCAGGUGACGGCGCCGUCCGCGGUCUCGGCGGAGGCGACGAACUCGGAGGGCGGCUCGAACGAGGAUGCCCCGUCCUCGGCCGCGGCCGCGGCGCCGUCCAACGAGUUCUCUGAAGAAAUGGAGGCGAUCGACUACGACGCGCUGACGUAUGCCGCGCUGCUCGACAUAAUGAAUCGCGCAAGCCGCCCGGCGAUUGAGGAGCUGAUGGCGCAGAAAGAGCAGCAAGUGGAGUCGACGAUGCAGCAGCAGCAGAACCAGCGUGUGGAGCGCUUCCUCGACGUGGCGACGACGAGCUCGGCCGCCGCGGCGGAGGCGAACGGCAGUGGCGCCGAGGAGGAGGCAGCGGAGGGCUACCGCUACAACACGAUGCUGACGCGCCUCUUCGAGGCCCUGAACCGAAACAAUGAAGGCAGCGCCAUGACGGAGCGCAACCAGCUGCCGGUGCCCAUCCUGGAGCGUAUGGGUAAGAAGAAGACGGUUAUCGCCAACUUUGGUCGCAUCUGCGACGCCUUUCACCGCCCCAUGGAGGACGUGAAGGACUUUAUUGAGAAGGAGCUGUCCAUCCGCGGCAACCUCGAUAGCAACAACGCGCUCAUUCUCAAGUUUGAGAUCCGCAAGCAGACGGACUUCGAUCGUGUGCUAAUCAAGUACCUCGAUGAGUACGUGAAGUGCAACUCGUGCCACCGCAUUGACACCACGCUCACCAAGGAUGGCCGUCGUCUGGAGCUGCGCUGCAACGUGUGCACUGCGACGCGCACGGUCACGGCCGCCGGCACGGCCACGUUCAGCGCUCAGAUCGAGAAGCGCUCUCGCCAGCGUGCCGCCAUGAUCCUGUGAUCUGUGGUUGUGUCUUUUCAGAGAGGAGGGAGGAAGAGACGGCUGGGCUCACGACCACCGCAGCUCUCGUGUCGCCUUCCUUCUCUCGCACCGAAGCCGAUGCGUGCGAACAUGUAAGAUGUCUCUUCUACCGCCUUUUGCCCGACGCAUUCUGUACACGUGCGCUGCCCGCUUCUGUGGUGAGGGGGCGAGAGAGCAGACAUGGGGUACGGCCGCAGUUGUCUUCGGUGCUUGAGAGGGGCCAGGGGCGGGGAGUUUGGUGCGAUGUGCUCGCACCGAUGUGAGUCCCACCCUUCCCCACACACACAACCCCCCCCUCGCGCUGUGGUUGUAGCUGGUUCUGCCACCUAUGAUCUUUUUUUUAAUGCUUCUCGGCAAGCGCGUAUCAAGGACGAAGCACGCCCAUCACCGCCUCCGUUGUACAGAGAUGCAUGCACGCGCACACGAACAGAUCUCUACGUGUCUCUCCCAUGUUACGACGGCAGCCGUAGCGUGUUGCCGGUUGCUGGUGCUGAGCUGCGGCGCUUCUUUUCGUUGGCUUCGUUGUCGUUGUUCUUCCCACUCUAUUCUUUGGUGCCCUAACUAAGCUGCGCGUACGUUUGUGUGUGGAUGUUCGUGUGGAUGAGCGCAUGGUGACACUGAUGGCAAGGGCAAGGACGACGAUGAUGAUUACUUACUUUUUUAUUUUGAUUUUGCUGCUGAUCAGAUUUCUUUCGCGCCUGUAUGUGUGCAUGCGUCGUGGCGAACAACGUUGGAUAUCUCGCCUACGCGAGCGCCUCGACGCGCGUGUGUGCGCGUCUUCUCCUCGUUCGGUGGACGGCUGUGCGCUCACGGCAUACGCACCAAGCAGAGGAAAAACAGGUUGGCAGGCAGUCGCACACGCGAGAAAAGCGAGAAGAAGAAAGGCAGUGACCGGCAAUGCUGAUGUCCGCAGUACUGGCGCUGGGCGUGGCGGCCCACGUGAAUGACCGAAUAUGCGGGGCAGAAGCACAUGCACGGUGUAUUCUAAGAGCAGCGACGUCAAUGGGGGAAACGGGAAAAAAAAAACAAGAAAUUUGGUAAAGAAGGCGUCGAUAAAGCGGACGCGCAUGCGUGUGAGCAUGCGUGUGCGUGGGUCUGACUGUGUAUGUGGGUGGGUGGGUAUUUAAAUCGGUACUCUUUAACACGGAAGGCGAACAACAACGGCAAACAACAAAAAGGGUAUCGGCAGCGCUGGCACACGCAGAGAAGCGACGAAACGAAAAGGAAGAUGCGAGACGCAUCACCGAGGGCCCGCCAGGUUCGCCUGCUGUGCACAGCACAUUUGUGCAGAUGCAUGCGUUGCGUGCUUCUUCCGUUCGAUUUUCUUUUCGUCUUCUGCCUCGUCCCAACGAGACCGGCACGCGACGAGAGGGCACCGCCAUUAU